UAAAAGUUUCAAUGUCACUGACUUAUCUCCUUUUGAUAUAGGACGACCAGUUCUGAGGCCAGAACAUUUUCAAGAGGGAGGGGAUGAUGAGGACAUAGAACCGGACAUCGACGAAUGCUCGACGGAUUGGCACGAACCGGUAACGAGUGACCCGACACCAACAAUCCCGACGGUCAUAGCUGGACCAAUGACCCGUUCACGUACAAGGAAGCUAAGAGAAACAUUCAAUGAAGGAGUUGAGGCCCUG
rnacentral:lncRNA from 1 species